rnacentral:misc_RNA from 1 species
AACAUCGCGCACCUGCGGGAACCUGCGGAGGGAUCAUUACCGAGUUUACAACUCCCAAACCCCUGUGAACAUACCACUUGUUGCCUCGGCGGAUCAGCCCGCUCCCGGUAAAACGGGACGGCCCGCCAGAGGACCCCUAAACUCUGUUUCUAUAUGUAACUUCUGAGUAAAACCAUAAAUAAAUCAAAACUUUCAGCAACGGAUCU